rnacentral:rRNA from 1 species
GAUGAACGCUGGCGGCGUGCCUAAUACAUGCAAGUCGAGCGAACAGACGAGGAGCUUGCUCCUUCGACGUUAGCGGCGGACGGGUGAGUAACACGUAGGUAACCUACCUAUAAGACUGGGAUAACUUCGGGUAACCGGAGCUAAUACCGGAUAAUAUUUCGAACCGCAUGGUUCGAUAGUGAAAGAUGGCUUUGCUAUCACUUAUAGAUGGACCUGCGCCGUAUUAGCUAGUUGGUAAGGUAACGGCUUACCAAGGCAACGAUACGUAGCCGACCUGAGAGGGUGAUCGGCCACACUGGAACUGAGACACGGUCCAGACUCCUACGGGAGGCAGCAGUAGGGAAUCUUCCGCAAUGGGCGAAAGCCUGACGGAGCAACGCCGCGUGAGUGAUGAAGGUCUUCGGAUCGUAAAACUCUGUUAUUAGGGAAGAACAAACGUGUAAGUAACUGUGCACGUCUUGACGGUACCUAAUCAGAAAGCCACGGCUAACUACGUG